UACCUGGUUGAUCCUGCCAGUAGUCAUAUGCUUGUCUCAAAGACUAAGCCAUGCAAGUCUAAGUAUAAGCAAUUUAUACGGCGAAACUGCAGAUGGCUCAUUAAAACAGUUAUAGUUUAUUUGAUGGUCUAUUACUACUUGGAUAACCGUAGUAAUUCUAGGGCUAAUACAUGCACGAAGGCCCAACUCACGGCGGGCUGUAUUUAUUAGAUAAAACACCAAUUCCCUCCGGGGAUCCGGUGAGUCAUAGUAACUUUUCGAAUCGUAUGGUCUCGUACCGACGAUAGGUCAUUCAAAUUUCUGCCCUAUCAGCUUUCGAUGGUAGGAUAUGGGCCUACCAUGGCUUUAACGGGUGACGGAGAAUUAGGGUUCGAUUCCGGAGAGGGAGACUGAGAAACGGCUACCACAUCCAAGGAAGGCAGCAGGCGCGCAAAUUACCCAAUCCUGACACAGGGAGGUAGUGACAAGAAAUAACAAUAGACGGAUUACUUAAUCUGUCUAAUUGGAAUGAGUACAAUUUAAACAUCUUAACGAGGAACAAUUGGAGGGCAAGUCUGGUGCCAGCAGCCGCGGUAAUUCCAGCUCCAAUAGCGUAUACUAAAGUUGUUGCAGUUAAAAAAGCUCGUAGUUGGAUUUCUGUGGGGACGGAGCGGCCGGCCGCACAUCGCGGGUUCGAGCUAGCGCUUUCCCUACAUCCUGCCGCGAACCGUGCUACCAUUAGUUUGGUGGCGCCGGGGAUCGGCUCGAUUACUUUGAGAAAAAUAGAGUGUUCAAAGCAGGCCACAUGCCUUGAAUAAGUUAGCAUGGAAUAAUAACUAAGGACUUCGGUUCUAUUUUGUUGGUGUUCGGGACUGAAGUAAUGAUUGAUAGGGACAGUUGGGGCGGUCUGUAUUCCAAAGCGAGAGGUGAAAUUCUUAGACCUUCGGAAGACAAACAGCUGCGAAAGCGUUCCGCAAGGAUGUUCCCUUUGAUCAAGAACGAAAGUUGGGGGAUCGAAGACGAUCAGAUACCGUCGUAGUCUCAACUAUAAACUAUACCAGCUAGGGAUCGGCCAACGUUAUUUUAUACCGACUCUGGUCGGCACCUUAUGAGAAAUCAAAGCAUCUGGGUUCCGGGGGGAGUAUGGUCGCAAGGCUGAAACUUAAAGGAAUUGACGGAAGGGCACCACCAGCCGUGGAGCCUGUGGCUUAAUUUGACUCAACACGGGAAAACUUACCAGGUCCAGACAUAGUAAGGAUUGACAGAUUGAUAGCUCUUUCUUGAUUCUGUGGGUGGUGGUGCAUGGCCGUUCUUAGUUGGUGGAGUGAUUUGUCUGGUUAAUUCCGUUAACGAACGAGACCCCAGCCUGCUAAAUAGCGCGCGUGAGCUUUGCUCGCGGCGAGCUUCUUAGAGGGACUAUGAUGCGCGAUAGCACAUGGAAGUUUGGGGCAAUAACAGGUCUGUGAUGCCCUUAGAUGUUCUGGGCCGCACACGGGCUACACUGGCGCCUGCAACGAGCAUAUCAGCUGGUCCGAGAGGAUCUUGGCUAAUCUUUUGAACCGGCGCCGUGCUUGGGAUUGACCUUUGCAAUUGUUGGUCAUGCAACGAGGAAUGCCUUGUAAACGCGAGUCAUCAGCUCGCAUUGAAUACGUCCCUGCCCUUUGUACACACCGCCCGUCGCUCCUACCGAUGAAUGUUCCGAUGAAAUUUUCGGAGAGUGCCUGUGAACUUGGCUCUGCCUUGCGAACGGGAAGCUCAAAGUCACUUAAAUCUGAACAUUUCGAGGAAGGAGAAGUCGUAACAAGGUUUCCGUAGGUAACCUGCAGAAGGAUC
rnacentral:rRNA from 1 species